CACAGCAGCAGCAAAGGCCAGCCAAGGGAGAUCGUAUGUCAGCCAUCUCGCGUCGCCACGAAAACACGACAGUCGUUCGUCAUGCCUUGGAUAUAACAGCAAAUCCUCCACGGCACCCGCUUUAUAUAACGCAAGAAGGCAGCUGCAAGGACACGAGGAUGUGAAAGAGCCAGUGCAGCGCGACUUCACGUAGUGCAGAGGAGCCAAUGCCAAAAAAUCAAAAUACAUUGGCAUGUUAUUUGGACAAGAAAACUAGGACAACCCAGGACGUGCAUUUCUCAGCACCCAGUCAACUGCCAAAAGUGACUCAAACACAGGCCACCAGUGGAACUCGGCUGUACCACUGCAGUGCUGCGGAAAUUGCCUUCACCAGCGGCUUUGCAACAGCUGUUUCGCAGCAUGUCGG